UACUUAUCGUUGCACAGGGGACUCGUUGAGGUUCAAGAUAGAUUUGAAUGGCAUACACCGCCCAGGCCUUAUGACGCCUUCCACAUGGUGGUGUACGAGUUGUGGUUAAGGCACUUCACCGUGCAAUACAAGAAAUGAGAAUGACAGGGAAGUUAUUUUUUCCUUUGUCUUGGUGGACACUGUCUUGUUUUCCAGAUUCUAAGAAACUCAUACAUGGAUCCCUCGAAGGACAAACGGCAUUGUCACAUCGUUCUCCUUUUAGGCCCGUCUACUGGUCAUACCUUCACAGUAACUUGUAGUCGUGCGCCUUCAUCAAACGGCUGGAGGUGCAGCUGGAAUGCAGGUGUUUCAUACGGGUUCCUUGAUGACCUGCAUCCCUGCACAGUAUAGGUUGCCAGGAACAGGGGUUGUAACUUGGUGUUGGUGGCAAGGGUAACUCAUCGAUUGGUGGACUGAGCAGAGGUGGUGGCAAUGAAAGCUCAUAGCUUGGUGAUGGUGCAGGAGUGGGGCUUAACGUUCUCCUCCACAUGUGUCAAGUUCAUGAACUUCCAACAAGUCUUGAUCA